ACAUUACUGUAUAAUUUUUGCUUCAGCCUUCCCUUGCAUGGAUCAGAAGCAGGUAUCAGAAAACAACAUAUGACAAGAUCAGGGAGAAGAAGCUUACUCCUAUUGAGGUACAAGAUGGAGAUGCGUCUUAAAGACAAGGAUGAUUCGACUUUAGCUGUCCUCAUAGGUAGACUAGGAGCUACUUUCAUUGGAGGUACAUGACAAAUUGGUUAAUGAAGAAGAUGCAAUGAUUAGCGUUAUGCAGAAGAUGCACCAGUGCCAUGUAUGGAAAAUCGGCUUUGGUUCAAGAAAAGUUCUCCUGAUAAAGGCUGUGUAUCCUUACUAUGGGAAGACUGUUGGAGAGGUUCUACAAAUAGCAAGACCACAAAACCAGCUUCCACCAAAGAAGGCCUUGAAACCCGGAAAGAGCACUUUGAUUGAAAUUCUAAAAGAAGUGACUGCCAAGAAGCCAAAGAGGUCAUAAAUAAAACCGGAGAGCACAAAAGAGACAAAAGAGAAGAAAUCUUAAAAGAAAAGGAAUCCAAGUCGUGCGAGGAAUGAAAUCACAAAUUUGCCAGAAAAUAUCAGUCGACUUCUACAGAAGAUUGUGAUCAGCUCACAAUUAUCCAGAAAGUGUACCAUAUAUCAUUGGAAAGCUACAUGAGUCUGGUUUCCAGAACACUUUACGGAUCGUCGAUACCUAUUUUCUACAAGGAGUUAUGACUGUUUGAGUGAACGAAGGUCAGUCUGACGGAAAUUCUGAUGUGGACCAAAACUUCAAUUUGGAGGCCCAGACCACGUUGGAAAACCUAAUGACUCCCUAUAAAUAAGAGAGAACGACCAGAACACAGAGAGGAUGUUUUCACCAUCUAGACAUCAUACAAAGCCUCCAUUCGCUGCUGCCUCACACAAGGAUCCAUCCAAGGAAGCCGUGUAGCCAUCAUCGAUCUCUCCAUCAUCCACGGUUUCCCUUUCCUUUGUCAUCUUCAACUAUAUUCUCUUUGUGUGUUUUUGUAGCCAUGUGUGG